rnacentral:rRNA from 1 species
AGAGUUUGAUCAUGGCUCAGGACGAACGCUGGCGGCGUGCUUAACACAUGCAAGUCGAACGGAAAGGCCCCUUCGGGGGUACUCGAGUGGCGAACGGGUGAGUAACACGUGGGUGAUCUGCCCUGCACUUUGGGGUAAGCCUGGGAAACUGGGUCUAAUACCGAAUAGGACCGCAUGCUUCAUGGUGUGUGGUGGAAAGCUUUUGCGGUGUGGGAUGGGCCCGCGGCCUAUCAGCUUGUUGGUGGGGUAAUGGCCUACCAAGGCGACGACGGGUAGCCGGCCUGAGAGGGUGUCCGGCCACACUGGGACUGAGAUACGGCCCAGACUCCUACGGGAGGCAGCAGUGGGGAAUAUUGCACAAUGGGCGCAAGCCUGAUGCAGCGACGCCGCGUGGGGGAUGACGGCCUUCGGGUUGUAAACCUCUUUCAGUAUCGGCGAAGCUCCAGGAUUUUUCUUGGGGUGACGGUAGGUACAGAAGAAGCACCGGCCAACUACGUGCCAGCAGCCGCGGUAAUACGUAGGGUGCGAGCGUUGUCCGGAAUUACUGGGCGUAAAGAGCUCGUAGGUGGUUUGUCACGUUGUCUGUGAAAACUCACAGCUUAACUGUGGGCGUGCGGGCGAUACGGGCAGACUGGAGUACUGUAGGGGAGACUGGAAUUCCUGGUGUAGCGGUGGAAUGCGCAGAUAUCAGGAGGAACACCGGUGGCGAAGGCGGGUCUCCGGGCAGUAACUGACGCUGAGGAGCGAAAGCGUGGGGAGCGAACAGGAUUAGAUACCCUGGUAGUCCAA